rnacentral:rRNA from 1 species
CCUACGGGUGGCAGCAGUGAGGAAUAUUGGUCAAUGGGCGCGAGCCUGAACCAGCCAAGUCGCGUGAAGGAAGACGGUCCUAUGAAUUGUAAACCUCUUUUGUCGGGGAGCAAAAGACGCUACGCGUGGCGUUCCGAGCGUACCCGACGAAAACGCAUCGGCUAACUCCGUGCCAGCAGCCGCGGUAAUACGGAGGAUGCGAGCAUUAUCCGGAUUUAUUGGGUUAAAGGGGUGCGCAGGCGGAAGAUCAAGUCGGCGGGAAAAUUGAGAGCCUAAACCUCUUCGUGCCGUUGAAACUGGUGUUCUAGAGUGAGCGAGAAGUAGGCGGAAUGCGUGGUGUAGCGGUGAAAUGCAUAGAGAUCACGCAGAACUCCGAUUGCGAAGGCAGCAUACCGGCGCACAACUGACGCUGAUGCACGAAAGUGUGGGGAGCGAACAGGAUUAGAUACCCUGGUAGUC